rnacentral:rRNA from 1 species
CCCUUAGAUGUUCUGGGCCGCACGCGCGCUACACUGAUGCAUUCAACCAGUCUAAAACCUGCUCUGAUAGGGGUGGGUAAUCUUUUGAAUGUGCAUCGUGAUUGGGAUAGAUGAUUGCAAUUUUUCAUCUUCAACGAGGAAUGCCUAGUAAACGCAAGUCAUCAGCUUGCAUUGAUUACGUCCCUGCCCUUUGUACACACCGCCCGUCGCUCCUACCGAUUGAAUGGUCCGAUGAAUAUCAUGGAUUGAGGAUGCAAGUAGGUUCGCCUAUCUUCAUCUUCGAGAAGUGAAGUAAAUCUUAUCAUUUAGAGGAAGGAGAAGUCGUAACA